CCCGCCCCCCCUCUCUAGUGCAGCCCGGUGCGGGGGGAGCUGCCUGAGGCGCGCGUCCGCCUCGCGCUGCUGGGACCGAGGGAGAGACAUGACGCCUGAGAGGCGCUUUGCGGGGGUCUGAGCACGCCCUGGGGAGAGCUGGGGCGCUGCAGCCAUUAACUGUCGCCCCGCCCCUCUGUAAGGGGGGGGGCUGUUAACGUCCCUGCUUCCCAGCUGGGGAAACUGAGGCACGGAGCGGUUACGGCUAAGGUGGCCACUCAUCGGUUUACCUCCCUAGUGGACGUGCCGGGAACGGUGUGACCCUGCCUUCGCCGGUGGGACUGGGACUCACGGGUGCCAGGAAGGUCAGGCUGGGCGGGGGGCGGGGGGAACCCAUUUUUAAGCGUGUGCUGCUCCCCCCCCCGCCUCCCCUCUCCCCCAAGGCUCAGUAUGACAUUGCUGGCACGGUCACACUGUUGGGGGGGGGGCGCUCUUCAAAAGGGCAGCUCCUGUCUGAGGCCUCCCUAAACCACGUCUGGUUUGCCCGAGGAGGGACAAACCCUAGAAAAGCAGGAUUGUCUAGGGGUUUAAUAGCGAACAAGUGGUCUGCUUGGUUAAGUCCCAGACUUGCCAAGCCAAGCCCCCUAAAUCUCUCCCUUCUCCACAACUUGAGGGGCUUUAGGUACCCCCGUUUGGAAAAAAAAAAAAUGUUGGCUGAGGCGAGCCUGAAGAACAGCUCUGUGUAAGCUUGUCUCUUUCCCCAGCAGAAUUUGGCUCAGCAAAAGAUAUUACCUAAGCCGCUCUCUUCAAACAUUUAAAACUUUCUCCUCAAUUGCCCCGGGGCUGACGUUUAUCAUACAAGCAGAAACAUUUUUUUUUUUAAACAAAGUUUCAUAAUAUUCAAUUCAGCUGUUACAGAGAGCGCCAAACCUGUGAAAACUUUGCUAGAUAUUUUUUCAUAGACAGCUUUGCACACAUAGCUCAGACUUUAUUUUUUAAAUUAUGUUGUCAAGUUUGGAGCAUGUUACUACAGUGAAAUGCAUAGAGGAGUUCGCUCUGCAAACUGUAACAGACCAUUUCAGAAGGAGAAAGCUAAUCAUAUGUGGCUGCUUUUAAAAACAUCAUGGGUAUGGUUCUCAGUGAUAUGUGCCUAUGUGUUUGCCUGCACACACCCACACAGACUGUCUAAUAACUGCAUAAUGUGCAUGUGUACACAUAUUCAAAGCGCUAUAUACCUGAUGCCAUCACAGUGAAAUAUAAUUAUAUAAGGAAACUGAGGCACAGUUAUGAUUAUUAUUCUUGGGGCAUCUAUAUAUUUGUCUCUAGUUAUCUAUUAUGGCUCUUGUCAAUCUAUCAACAAGUUUACACUCCAAGCUCCUAGCCUUGCAAUUUGAUCUGAGCAGAUUGAUGUUUACACUGGCAUGAAGUUCUGUUAAAGGCAUUGGCUCCAUAUGGGCAGAUUAAAUUGCUGUUUUAGGGGAACUUUAUUUUUGAUAACUUUUACAAGACCACACAACAAAUCAGUCUUAGAGCCCGUAUUAACAUUUUUAUAAAACACUGGCUCCUAACCCUCUACUCACUCUUAAAGGGUACUUAACAACUCUCUCCCACUCAGUCCCUAACCAAAUGGAAGAAAAAGUCAAACAACUUGCAUACUUGAACAUUAUAAACCCAUAUUCCUUCCCUCCAUCCUUAUGCUGGCCUUGCUUUUUUGCAACUGCAAUUCCUUGGCACAGGGAUCUUCCCGGCUCAAAGUCUGUUACAGGCUGUAACUGUCAUCAAGCAUCACCAGUGUGGUGUUCUGCUCUAUCCAAUGUUGAUAGCAGUUGGCUGCGUGCGUGUGUUCCCUCUGCGUGAUGCCCUGGCUCUGUGCAGAUAGUUGGCGUAGCAGACCCUGAGAGAAACCCCAAGAACCACAGACUCCGAUAAGUGGGAGCUAGCGGUAUCUACCUUACUAGGAUGGGAGAGAAAAAGAUGGAUAGCUAUGUGGCUACUAAGGGUGUCCUGAGAUCUUGAGAAAAAUUAAGAGACCUCUAUGAUGCAUAUCACAUCAUAUUUGGAUCUGAGCAUCCUCACAAGCACCAGUUAAGUCCAACAAUACCCCUGUGUGGUCAGUAAGAAUUUUUAUUCCCAUUUUACAGAUGUGGUAAUUGAGAAAUGUAAGUGACCAUGGUCACAGAGGAGCUGGCAGAGCUAGGAAUAGAAUCUGAUUCUAACUCUGCUGCCUUAAGUACAAAUCAUCUUUCCUCUCAAACUGAGAUCGAGUUUAGAAAAGCACAUUAAAGUUUGGAGGCUUAUCUGAACUGCCCGAUUCAGCAAAACCAGGCUGGAAAUCUUACCAGAACAGUGGCAUUUUGAUCCUUUAAUUUCCAGUCCUGGCCAGAGUCCAGAAGUUCAGAGUUGUGAAAAAAAAAUUUAUAAAUAUACCUCAAUUUAUCAAACUUCUUUAAGAAAAAGUUGUGCAGGACGACGUUACCCAUCCUGCUGGUUUAUACUUCCGUGGGCCAAAUGUAUCCCUGGUACAAGUGGGUAAAACUCCGUGGAUUUCAAUGGGAGUUGUGCCCAGGUACACUGGAGUUGAAUACAGCCUUACAUGAUGAGAUGAGAGAAUUUUGUUUAUAGUCAAAUUCCAUAUUGAUAGAACUUGGAUUAGAUAUGGUCAAGCUUUGAGCAUCCACAGCUGGCUGCAUCCAGUUCCUUUCGUUUUACAAUUGUCCACCAAAGAACGCAAUUAUAGCAGAAAGAUUCUCAGGUUCUCAUUUGUGUUUGAAGAGAUGAGUGCUGUGCCUUCCUCUGAACAUGGCGCUGGUCAUUGUUGGAGAUAAGGAGUGACAUUUUGGCCCCAGUGAAGUCAAUGACACAACUUCCAUUGACUUGAAUAGGGUCAGGAUUUCACCCAGAGUGCCUAUAUCUGUUGGACAAGACUGCUCUAAUCCAGUGUAGCAAUUCUUAUGUUCCUACUGGUUUCUCAAGCAUACCAGCUGCUAAUGUUCAGUGCAAUUUUAGAUCAAUAUUGUGGAUGGAUAGUAAAAGCAAAAUUGGGUUAAACCCAGAGGUAAGUAAUGCCAUUGACUUUCAGGUGCCUGGGUGAGCUCUGGCCUACAGUAUGUUACACAGAACAAACAUACUAAGGGAGAUUCACAGCAAGGACUGGGGAGAGCCAGGUCUUGUGAGAGCACUACUUUUAAAAAAUCUUAUUAACAUUCCAUUUAAAAUUUCCAAAAUUGACUGCACACAGGUGUAGGUGUCAAAUGAGGAGUCAGUAGCAUUUCUCUAGAGAGAAUUUUCCAGAAGAAGUACCCUUGCAUGGGGAUUGCCAAUUCUCGACAGGGAUUUUCAUAAAAUCACAUUGUAGUUGAAGUUUGGCAUGAGCACUUUUGUUUGUUCGUUUUGUUUGUGUUAGAUAACACUACUCUUCUAGCAGGUGUAAUCUAGCUUGUCGAAAACUUGAAUUCCGGGACAGAAGAGAGCAAAUGAACAGUAAAGAUUUAAAUAAAUGCCAGUUGCUCAUUUUAUAUCCAUAUUUCUCACUUGAUACUUUUUUGUGGCGCCUUCUCCUAAAUGUAUCGUAAUCGGGAACAGAACAGGCUAGAAUAAACUAAAUUGGGAACUCACAUGCUUCCGUUGCUCGUUUUACAUUAUUAUUUUUUUUUCCAUUUGCAAAUGGCUUACUUGGGCAAAUCAUAAGCAAAAUCCAGUGUUUUUCAGUUUCACGUCAGUGGAAACUUUAUUCUCUCUGUACUUAAAAAUGUGAUGAAAAUGAGAUGCAACCCUUUAGUGCUAGAGGCCUUGGUUUGCCUUUUCCUUCACUUUGAAACUAAUGUGCUUUUUUUUUACUUCCUUUUCCCUGUCAAAUCUACUUCACAAGAAAUCAUGAAUACAUUUCACAUCAAAUUCAACAGAACUAUCACCACCUCUGAAUUUAGAGAAGCAGAAGUCUGUAUAUAGCAUUGUUUCUUCUGGUUCUCUAUUGAAUAUUUUCUACUUCUCUCUGGGGGUUGAUUCUCUUUCCGGUGUAUCUGCUUUACCUUUUACAGCACCAGUCCUUUCCCCUACUGUUGAAGCUUCUUUUGGCAAGCAGGGCACUGGCUACAAUCUCUUAGGAGUGUAAGAAUGGCUGUACUGUGUCAGACUGAUGGUCCAUUUAGCCCAGGAUCUUGUCUUCUGACAGUGGGUAGUGUCGGAUACUUCAGAAGCAAUGAACAGAACAAGGCAACUUCAAAUGAUCAUUCCCAUGUUGUCCAGUCCCAGCUUCUGGCAGUCAGUGGUU